rnacentral:lncRNA from 1 species
AUCUAGCUACAAAGAGUACAAGGCAAUGAUAUACAUGUGACGACUUUCUGUGCUAUGUGGAUAAGAGUUACAACUAAGAAAUUCACCAUGAAAAAAAAGCUUACUGAGCAUGUGAGUUUUCCAAACAGAUGAGCCUAGUUGUUGGGUAACAUAUCUCAAAUCUAGGAUCUCUAAUUGCAGCUUCCAUUUGAUUGAUAUCCAUUGUUCCGUCUUCAUUAUUCUUCACUGUUCUUGGAUGAACACCUCCAAUUGUGGAAAUACCUCCAUUUUCAUAAAUGUGGAUAUGGCAACUGUCACCUAGAAUUACCUCACUUCCCCUAAUUGGACAAUGUGUAAGCACACAAAUAAGGUUACCCAUUGUGCCUGAAGGGACAAAGAGGGCUGCUUCCUUGCCUGUGAUUCUUGCCAUCUCUGUUUCAAGGCGACGGGCAGUUGGGUCAUGACUUAAAACAUCAUCAUCAACUUCAGCAUUUGCCAUUGCAGUCCGCAUGGCUUCAGUUGGUUUAGUCACUGUGUCAGAUCGGAGAUCUACCGUUCUUGUCACCAUUUUGCACUAUAAUCAAGCAGAACAAAAUGAACAAAUCAAGACAUGAGUUAAAAACAAGAAUAAGUUAUCUCCAGGCAUAGGACUGCCAUAGUUACAUCAUUCGAAAAAAUAAUAAAUAAGACACUGACUCGGACCUGAAAAUUAAACUACAUAUAACCAAUCAUGAAAUGGAAAUAAGCAAUAACAGACAUGUUGGAGAUCUGUGUUUUUUCCUGAAUUCUCUGGAAGGAUCAGAAUAUGUAGACAAUAAAAGAGCAAAUAGAUUUGUUGUCUUAGGAAGAAAGGUCUAUCAGUGAACUGAGAAAAAAGAAAACAAAAAGGAAAACUGAAAUCAUGGACGUAUGCCAUAAAAAAAAAAAUUUAUUUUGCGCAUGUGCGUGAGGAGCACUUGAAACGUAAGAAAACAAACCAGAAACUUUGAUGCAUAAACUGUAGUAUAAAACGCAGAAACUGAUGACAAGGCAAAUGCAAGAAAUGCGGAGUCUGAUUCUGGAUGCACUUAAACCUGAGGUCGUCUGGGUGACGCCUCCAAUUUAGCAUAAUUAAUCCAUAUCUUCCUAGGGAUUUCUUGCAGGAUACUAAUCUAAUUGCAGUUCAAGAUUAAGCUGAAAAAGAAGAGAGAUUUCUUCCACUUUCACAUCUCUUUAUCUCCUUUAGCAAUGAAUAUCUAUCCCAUCCUCUCUCUCUCAUUUCAGACAAUUUCAUGCAAAAUUCAUCUACUUUAUACAAAGAACCAACAGCCACACAACAUGCUCGGACGUUAAUCAGUGCGCAUUAUAUUUGAUACCUUUUUUUUUAUAGUUAUUGAAGCAAAAUCAGUCAGUGUUGAUUGAUAUCUCCCUUCUUGAGUUCUUGAUGCAGAGUUACAGAAUCCAGCAACAAUCAACCAGAUUCACUCAACUGCACUCCAAACGUAAUAAAUCGGUACCAAAAAGGGGCAAGAGAAAUUUAUCACGAAAAGGUAAAGAAAAUAUGACAAAGAUGAUUUAAAAAGAAAAAAAAGAUUAACCCACAAAACUGAGCACUUACGUGCGAUGAAAUUCAAUCAUGAGCACAGAAACAGAGCAGAAUCAGUAGUUCUUGUCAAGUGGAAAAGACCCAAGAUACGUAUCUAAGUAAAGCACCACAAGAUGAAUCCAAGUGUAUGACAGCUGAAUCUUUGGUUCUCUUUCCCUUAAAGAAGCGAAAACCCAACCCCACCGCAACCUCAAAAGAAAGAAAUGCAUGACCUCUUUCGGGAACUUAUUAUUUCGUCAUUUAAUGAAAACAAUUAUCAAAAACAAGCAUCAUCUCAUCACAUGACAAAAUACAUGAGCUACACACAUGGCACUUUACAGUCAUUGAAAAUGAUGCAUGCAUGAUAAGCAACUAGCGGUUGAUAGAACUUCAAUAAAGGCACCAAAAUUCUCGUCUUAAUCAAAAAGAUUCUUCAGGUACAUAGUUGAAUUUGACACUUCCCUAUUGGGCUCACCUUUGAUAUGAUCAAGUGACUCUGUUGUGGCUCCUUUGUGUCUUCUUUCCUACCUUCCUUUUGUGUGUGUGUGGUUUUUUUUUUUUUUGGAACCAAAGUUUGGACUAACAAUCCAAAAACAUAUAUGGGAUUUUAGGGAAACACGGUAAGUUUUGAUCAUCUAUGCGUUGGAAUGCAAAUCUAUUUAUAUACAAAGGUGGGUAUGAAUUAUGAAAAUUAAUGCAUCAUGCAUGAAGUUUAUUCAAGCUGGAACAUAAAAUAAUGGUAACUAGGAAGAAAAGUUGGAUACUAACUCCAAACAGGUGGUAAAGGCGAUGAUGACUGGAAUCCUUCACAUUCUGGGCCCUUUUCUUAUCGGUCUUAUCUCUUGGCCCACCGAAUACACGAAUCACGAAUGCGGGAAAGAUAUCUUACAGACGCUAUUGAUGUUUCAAAUAUUCAAAUUCUUGACUGCAAUUUGAUGCACUAAAAUAGCCCUUUCAAGCUUAACAAGCAAAAUUGUCCACGGCCGACCGAUCAUUCUUGGAACUCCAGACCAAUCUUUCCUAGAACUUCAGAAAUCCUGGGAGCCGCCAUUAUGGUUUAUUGACGCUCAUAACAAAAGAUGGCUAGUCUUUUGAGUUCAGUAGUUUCCUACCUACAUUUCAUUUGACAGGAAGGGACAUUUGAGCCGGGUUUUAAUAAGCCCAUUAAAAUAUUUGGUUUCGAUUCAUGAGUUUUUUCUUUAAAAAAAAAAUAAAGAGUUUUCAGCUAAUACACGUAAAGUUCAUAUUUGAUUCAUAAUAUAUUCGAAUUUUGAUUUCAAUUCGGACUCAGUUUAAACUCACUUAUUUUUUCUUAAUUUUUUAAUAUAAUUACUAUAAUCAUUAAAUAAUAUUAAUUUGAAAUCUGUAACAUUAAAACUAUACAAGUAUAUAUACACCAAUAAAAAGUUCAUUAAAAGUACAUAAACUAAACAUUUUUCAAUAAUAAUUGUACCUAAUUCUUUUCAAAUACAUAGAAAAUAAUAAUGAAACGUGAAUAGAUUACUAAUAAUUUAUCUAAUGAAUCUAAUUCUCUUCCUACUAAUUACUAAUAUUUUAAGUAUACAUUACAUAUUAAAAAAAUACAUGUAUAUAUAUGUGUGUGUAUAUAUACACACACAAAUAUAUAUAUCCAUACAUAUAUAUGGGGUAAAAAUAAAAAAAAAACUCUGUGGUAAACCUAUUAUACAAAUAAGCCCCUAUAGUUUCAAAAUAUACAACACGGUAUCUCAUGUUUUGAACUAAAUUGUAAACCUGACGGAAAUCGGUAAAAUUAACGGGACUGAUAUACUGAAAACUAAAAACAAAUUUUUAGCAAAUAUUACUAUUCUACCCCUUAGCCCCCAAUAAAACUCCUAGUGAUGUUUGAACCUCUCAAUAAAACUCCGUGAAGCUGCCCUUAACAACCGCACUAGACUGUACCUGGUGUUCAUAGAAAUCCCCAGCCCAUUCUUCGAGACUGAUUGAACCUCAGAUACUGGUGUUGAAGAAUUUGUCCCACCCUCCUUCAAGAACGAUAUAUGAACAUUUUCCGUUGAAGCAGUACCCACCAUAACUGGAGUUGGUGUAACUGUUUGCCCGGCUACUUUUAUGGGACGAAUGAUGGGGAGAAUUGGACGAAUGUUUAGACUGUGAAAUAUCCCAGCAGAAGUUAGACAUGUAAGAAGAGCGUCUUUUUUCGAUGUCGUUAUUAGUUAGAUGAGUAGAAGGGGUGCCCAAGAAAAGAGUGCAAUCAACAGAGGAAGACAGUAGAGAUAAUGCGAAGGAAUACAUUUUAGCAGUUUCAUCAAAGGGUUUAUUGUGAUGGUUAGGCAUAGAGAAGAGCAUGGAGAAGAAAUUGGCUUGAUAAGUGUGGAACAUGCCACAUGAACAUGGUCCAGCCAUGUUUCCAUGAGAGCCACCAUUGCACCUAUUACUGUGCAUCAUCGUUUGUUUUCUUUCUUCUUUCUUUUCCUGCUGCUGCUUCAAUCUCUAGAUGGAUAAAUAAUCUCUUCAACUGGUCUUUCAAUUUAUAGGGCUAAGACAAAAGAAUAAAAAAAAUACUAUUAACUAUGGGUUUUGUGAGAAUGAGGUAAAAACGAUGGGUAAUAAUCAAAUGGUUGAAUGUGGGAGUAAGUUGAAGCUUAGGAGGAAGAGCUCGUAAUGUUAUAUGAGUGUAUGAGAGAGAAAAAGAGUUGGAGCCGGGCAUUUUGGUCAUUUCAUCAGUGCCCGUUAAUUUUAUCAAUUUUCGUCAGAUUUACAAUUUAAUUCAAAAUAUGAGGUACCGUGUUGUAUAUUUUGAAACCAUAGGGGCUUAUUUAUAAAAUUGGUUUACCACAGGGUUUUUUUAUUUUUUACCCAUAUAUAUAUAUACAUACAUACAUAUAUAUAUACACAUAUAUGUGUGUAUAUAUAUAUGAGAGAAUUGUAAUUUUGAUCCCCAAUUUAUAAUAUAUGCGCGUAAUUAGUUCCCAACUAUUUCGAAAAUCAAUUUUGAUCCCCAAUCUAUUCAAUUUUGGGCUAAAAGUGGACAACUGAUGAAAUUUCUUCAAUUUCAACCAGAACCAAGUCACGUGAGAUCACGUGCCGGCACUAAAACCCCUUUUUCAAUUUUUUAAAUUUUUGAAACACGUUUUUUAAUAUUUUCAGUUUUGUCUUGCCUUUGGACAUAUUAAACAAAGACAUGAAAGGCUAAAAUUCACUAAUCAAGGAGUUAGUAAUCGUGUGUAGAAAUAAAUCACAAAAUAAAGUAGGACGAUGACAUCCUCUACUUCCUUCUUUUCUCAUCUUCUUUCUUCCAACUCAAGAACAAACCCUAGCAGCCUCAAUCCCAUUCUAAUCAGACAAAAAAAUUCAUCAUUCUGGCAAAAAAUUGCAAGAUCUAGGCAAAAACUUUGUGUCGAGUUUCUUCUAUUUUCAAUUUAGCUCCUCAUGGAACCAAUGAAAAAUUGCGACUGCAAGCAGCAAGCAAUAAUGGUUACUUCUUGGACAAGCAAUAAUCUUGGGAGAAAAUAUUCCACUUAUGCAAUCAAGAAAGUAUGGUUGUCUCUGUUUCUGAUUUCGACUUUUCUAUCUCUAUUUCUCAGUUUAAAGCUAAAGUUUUAUGAUGUUGGCUGUGAAGAGUAACAGAAAAAAAGGAUGCGAUUAUUUUAAAUGGCAUGAUCCGAAAAUAUGUAGAAGGUCAACAGUCCUGAUUCCUGGAUUACUACGGAGCAUGAACAGUAAGAAUGCUACAAUUGAGAGGCUAAGAGCAAGGGAAAGAAAAUUAUUGUUAGCAAUUUUGUUGUUGGUACUUCUGUUGGUUAUUGUGUUACUGGUGUAAAAGGCAGAAGGUUGGACAGUCUUGGUAUCAACUAAGCAGCUUAAGGAAAAUGUGUUAAGUAUUAGGCUAAGCUAGAUACUGUCUAAACUUAGAGAUGAAAGAUAUUCAUCCGGAUUGUAAUUUUUGUAUUUUUUUGUUGGAAUGGGUGAAUGUGUAAGUUGUAAUCUACUAUCAGGCUAGUACAUUUUGUUUUCUUGAAUGAAUAGAGAUGAAAGACAUUCGUCCGGAUUGUAAUUUUGAUAUUUUUUGUUAGAAGGGGUGAAUGUAUAAGUUGUAAUCUACUAUCAUGCUAGUACAUUGUGUUUAUUUUAAAUGAAUGAAUAUAUUGGAUGUUCCAAUCUGUUUUUAAUUAGUUGUGUUUUUAAAAUUCAUUUACAAGUUAACUGGAUGUUGAGUUCUUCUCGGAAAAUGAAUUCAAUUUGAGAGGUUGAAUGAAGAAUCAUUUGACAGCAAAAUCAUGAAUCCUAAUUCAAAGAGCCAGUUUAUGCAUGAACAUGGGUUCAUAUCAUUGGAUUAAACAGUCCCAAAAAUCAGAAUAGGAAAUUCACUACAAUCCUUGCAUUGCAGAUAUAAAGAAACAUGGAAGAAUAAUAGGAAUUCAAUACAUCCAAGUCAUCCACAGCUAGAAUCAUACUUUUACAACCACCAUCCCAUUGAUCAAAUAAAGGCGUUUCCUUGCCUAGAAUUCUAUAUAAAACUUGAAGCACCUAUUUAUGAUAAUUUUCACAAUCCAGAAUGACCAGAAAACAGAAUGAAAACUGAACUUCAAAAUGUGGAAGUAAGCUACUAUAAAACCUGAAUAUCAUAUGUAAUGCUGGAUAGUAAAACAAAACAAAUGGUAACAUACCAAAAAAUAAAAAAAAUACCAAAAGAUAAAAGAAGAAUUCAUUACUGGUUUGGAACCAAUAUGCAAAAGAUACAUUCAGAAUUUAUUACAACCAUUAAAUAGACACUGUUUUGUCAUUUGCCAGAAAUGAUUACAAACUUUAAAACUGUCAUGUUCACGCUGACUUGUUCUCAAGAUGCAUGAGUUCUAAAUACCAAUGUACAAAAGCUACUAAUCUGACAAAAGUUACUACUAAUCAAAUUCAGCAACACAACCAUCCAAAAGGUGUUGAUUAUUAACAUUAAGCUAGGUACUGAUUAGCAACAUCCAAAAGGUGCUGAUUAACUACAUAUCAGUUAGUUGAUGUUGGCUUUUCCUUUGUCAUUGCAAGGUGAAUUUGAAUAUCUUUGAUCCUAAAAGGUAUUACUGUUCUUCCUUGGCCAACUGGUUGACUGCAAUGUACCACAAAAUGCUCUAGGAUCCCAAAAGCUUCACGCAGGUUUGGUUAAGCAGUAGGGGCAAAAGAUAUUAUGCUGUCAUCACCAGUUGUUGGGUUGUUCUGUGAUGAAUCUAUUUGCUUUGCACUUCGUUUGGUGUCAUUUCCCUGCAAUACAUCAGCAUUUAACCACUAAAUAUCGAACUCAAGAAACAAUAACUAAAUGUACAUUAAGUAAUAAAAUUACAACAUAUUUCUUGAUGUUUUUGUUCUCCUCUUCUUUGCAUUUGAAGUGUUGCCCCUGACCUACAACAAAGCAUAAAAUGCAUUAGCUGCUACAAUGUUACAAACACAGGUAUAUCUAUUUACACAAAUUACAUGCUUGAGUUACAGAGUUAUCUACUAUCAUGUCAUCUAGUUGUGAGAAACUCAUAUCCUUCUGAUUUGCUUGUGUUUUCUGCCCCUGUUCUCUUAUUUGACUGGCUGCAACACCUGCUUCCUCUCUAACCUUACAUGUCCGUGUGUUAUGACCUUCUUCACCAUAGAAUGAGCAUUUACAGAUUUGACCAAAUCUUCUCACCUUCUUGCCUGGUCCUUUGUUUGCUGUAUCUCAUCACCAGAUUUUCUCCUCUGUUUCUUUGGUCUUCUUGAUACUCUUCCAUAAGUUGGUGACAUGGGUGGCUGAACAUCUACAUCUUCCCACUCAUACGCUCUAUUCACAGGUAAAAUGCAAGGGUCAUAACACUUAAGAUAUUUUUUAACACUAUAACAGUCAUCAAUGUACUGCAUAGGGGCCUUCAUAGCAAUCCACAAAGCUGAAAUUGCAUGAAUACAUGGUAUCCCUGUCAAAUCCCAUUUCCUGUAUGAGCAAGUCCAAUCCUAAAUAUUGACUGCCCACUUAUCACCAUAAGGACCAAUAACUUCAAAACUGACAUAGUUUGAUUUGUAAGACACAUAGUAAGUUGCCUUGUCAAUAUUAACCUUCAUCAUUUUUCUAAUUUUUGGAUAGAAACCAAAUUUACUUCGUUUUUUCCUACCUCUAUCUCUAUUUUCUUGCAUUCUUUGCAUGACAAAAUGUUUCAAUGCCUUCAUCAUGACAACAAUGGACCCUUCCCUGGCAUCUAAUAUUUCACUGUUAAAUGAUUCACAUAAGUUAUUCAACAACAUAUCACAUUUAGGAAAUGUUCUGAAGUGUGAUCUACUCCACUCAACUGGAUUCUUGUCCUCUAACCACUUAAUUGCAUCAACAUCCAGUUCUGCUAUGGCUUCCAUUCUUCUUAUGAAUUGUGCAUGAGUAGUUGCCUUAGAUGCUUUCCAUAAGACUUGCCUCAUGGCUGUCCCUUUGAAUCCAGCAGCUACCAUAUUGCUAUGCAUAUGCUUCACACAAAAUCUAUGAUUAGCCCCUAAAAAAAUUGAAUUACAUGCUUGAAUUAUGCCCUUCUGCUUGUCACUCAUUAUGGUCCAUUCAUAAUCUUUUUCAAUUUUUAGAUCCUCAUUAAGUAAAAUAAGAAAUCAAAUUCAGGAAUUCUUAGUUUUUCUCUCAGUUGCUGCAUAAGCAAUUGGAUACAAACCAUUAUUUUGAUCAACUUCAACUGCUAUCAGUAAUACUCUACCAACCGCACCUUUGAGGAAAGUCUCAUCUAAUCCAAAUACAGGCCUACAAGCAUCUAAAAAUUCUUUUUUCACACCAGCGAAGCACAUGUACAAACUUUGAUAUUUUUCUUGUUUGAUGACUAAAUCACAGUAGUCUUCUGCCACAUUCAUUACUACAGUACUACCUGGGUUACUUCUCAAGAUUUUAUUGAUAUACUUGGGCAACUUAUUGUACUGGUUCACAUCUCUACCUUGGGCCAACUUCCUGCCAAUUUUUUUUAGCUCUAUAGCCUUGAUGUCUACUCAAAUAGCACUUGUUCUCUUUCAUUACCGGAUUUUUGAAGCUAGCAUAAUCCAUCUUGGUAUUCUCCCUAAAUGUCUUAAAAUAUUUUGUCAACCCACCCAGAUUUCACACUCUUGUUAUGAUAUGAAAACCCAUACUUGUGUUUCUGCUGGAAUGUUCUAAUUUCUAAUCUGCCAUCACCUUUCAUCUUCCUAGCAUAUAUGUACCCGUCACAUUCUUUUUUAGGAUAAAUUGCCCUGCAUCUAAUGGUGUCACUCUUGGUAAAUUUAAAUGGUCUACCCCACUUGAUAUUUCAGGUUCUAACUGUCUCUUUAAACUUCUUGAAUGUGAUAAAUACCUGCCUAAUUUCAAGAUUGGGGUUAUCUGCAUCCUUGGGGUCAUACAUAGGGGGUUUUAAAUAACCCUCUUUAUCUGAACCUUGGAGACUAUCAAUAUCUAAACUUGAAUCUGGUGCAACAUCUAUGUCGGAUUUAUCAUCAUCAGUAUCAGAAUUACUCACUGUUUGUCCCCUAGUUUCCUCUACAUAUUCUUUUUUUUAUUCCUUUUAAGCUACUGUUUCCUGUGAUUUUCUACCCCUAACUAUUCUAAAUUAUGAUCAACAUUUUCUUCAUAGUCAUUGUCAUCAGAAUUUUGCUCAUAAUCAGAAUAUUUUCUUGAGAAUUUUCCAGAAUUAGAACCCUCUAUAUAUUAACUAUCAGAUUCAUCAUCUUCAUUUUCUAAUACAAAAUCUUCAUCAUCAAUAUCAAACCCCCACUAUGAUGCUAAUAACUCACUAAAAGAAACCUCUGUGUACAAAUCAACUACCCUUCCAUACUCAAAUUGAUUAACACAAUAGACAUGCAAUUCUCUAUCCUGACUUUCUAACAUUCUAUCCAUUUCAAAAAGGCUUAUACCUGUGACCUCUACAUGAUCAAACACCCUUAAUUCACCUCCCUCAUAAUGAACAUCAGGUUCAGUUUCACAUUUUCCCCAUAAGUGACACUUCACAGUCACUUUCGUACUAUCAUUAUCUACAUUUAAAAAAAAAUAAGAAACAAAAACAACAAACAAACAACACAGACCAUAAUUUAGAUGACAGAAAUAGUAAAACUAGCAAACCGACAAUAAAAAAUGCAUACUUUAGCAAAGAUUCAAAGACAUGGACCAUCAAUUGCAGUAAAAUAAGUCCCACUUGUACAGUAUGAACCAGCAUAAUAAGAUCCCGUUUAGAGACACACAUGGGACCACAUCACAAAUGACAAAUUUUUUUAGGGCUUUUUUCAAGAUUGGUCGUUCAUAAAGCCUUCAUUACAGAUUUUUUGUCCCCCCAAGUACAAGAAACAUCUUUUUCACUAUAUUCUAACAUUAUAAUUGGCGAUUGUGCAUAUAUAUCACAAAAAGAAGGCAAAAUCACAUACCAUAAUUAGGUGCUGCCAGCUUAUUCAUUUCCUUAGGUCUCACUGUCAUUUCUGCUUUGCAAUGCCACGAGCAGCUUCAGUUUGACUGAAUUCGGCAAAAUUUUUUUCGUAUUUUUUUUCUGCCAGCUUCAGUUUGACUGAAUUCAGCUUCACGUUUUUGAUUCGGCAAAAAUGCAUAUUUUUUCAGUUUGACUUUCUGUGCUAUGUGGAUAAGAGUUACAACUAAGAAAUUCACCAUGAAAAAAAAGCUUACUGAGCAUGUGAGUUUUCCAAACAGAUGAGCCUAGUUGUUGGGUAACAUAUCUCAAAUCUAGGAUCUCUAAUUGCAGCUUCCAUUUGAUUGAUAUCCAUUGUUCCGUCUUCAUUAUUCUUCACUGUUCUUGGAUGAACACCUCC